GAUCCUAUUCCUUUCCCGACCUUUCCUUCUCCUCUGGUCUCGGCGAACCGCGGCGACGGGGCUUCGAUUUGGGGUUUGCGCUUAUUGUCGGAAAGGGACCGAGGGCACCGGCGUUAGAUCUGGCCAGCGUCGAACGAUUGUGUGAGGUCACCAUCAUUAUCCCUCUCCGAUCUCCUUCCCCUGCUCGUCGGCAAGCACAGAUUGUGCCCUAGCCGGGAUUUGUGGAGGUUUUGGUUGAGAAUUAGGGUUCUGACCUCUUCUCUGUGCGUUAGCAAGAACAAGACCGAGCCCUAAUCGGGAUAUUGGAGGGGUGCUGUGGUGAUUUCAGCCAUCACAGAUUGAUUGGGUUGGUCCCUCCAUCGGAGUUGUGAUCAUCUCCGACAAUUGAAGCAGUAGAGGACCUUGAUCUAUACGAGCAGCGUGACGUGGGGUGGUUCUGUUGAUACGAGAUAUCUGGAGGCGGGUAUUUCUUCCUUUUCUCCUAUUUAGUUCUUUGAACUAUAAAGCAUGGUUGUUUUUGAAUGCUUAGGUUGCAUUACCUUAAAUCUGUAUAUUUGUUUUAUUCCUGCUUGUCUCCUUCUAUUUGAGCUUUGAUAUGAUCAU